rnacentral:lncRNA from 1 species
ACACAUAUUCAUUCUAUUGGGCAAGACUAUAUAAAUCUCAAGGCCAACAGACCACACAUUGUAAACACUGGAUGAGCAAUGGUAGCCCUUAUUGAAUUCAAGCAAGUAUGUUUUGUUAUGUCCGCGGAAGUAUGAAUUAGAUAUUGUUACAAAAACUAGCUUAGGUCAACCUAAUUUAUUAGUUCUCAGUUUUUGACCGAGUCAACCCA